rnacentral:rRNA from 1 species
CGCAUCUGUGCAUGCAGCAUAUCAAUAAGCGGAGGAAAAGAAACUAACAAGGAUUCCCCUAGUAACGGCGAGUGAAGCGGGAAGAGCUCAAAUUUGAAAUCUUAAAGGGUUUCCCUUUACGAAUUGUAGUUUAAAGAAGUGUUUUCUGUUGAGGUUUUGGUAAAAGUUCUUUGGAAUAGGACAUCAUAGAGGGUGAGAAUCCCGUAUUUGACCUUUACUUUCAACUUUGUGAUACACUUUCAAAGAGUCGGAUUGUUUGGGAAUGCAGUCCAAAAUGGGUGGUAAAUUUCAUCUAAAGCUAAAUAUUGGCGAGAGACCGAUAGCGAACAAGUACCGUGAGGGAAAGAUGAAAAGAACUUUGAAAAGAGAGUUAAACAGUACGUGAAAUUGUCAAAAGGGAAGCGUUUGACACCAGUGUUGUUUUUCUGAAAAUCAAUUAAAGAACUGUUUAUGCUAAGCUGUUUAGACUUUAUCAGCUAACUGUUUAGUUUUGAGCUUUUCUUUAAUGCACUUUUCAGUUAACAAGUCAACAUCAAUUUCUUUUGCUGUAAAAAAGCUUGAGGAAGGUGGCUUGAGAUUCGUCUUAAGUGUUUAUAGCCUCUUGCCUAUGCAGUCGGAGAGAUUGAGGUCUGCAGCGUAGAUCCUUCGGGGCUAAAUGCAUUUGUGCUAAGUUAUAGCAUUUUAUAGACAACUUGUUGACUAUGAUUUGUCUUGUAGCUUACUCGCUUAUGUUAUUUUACCUACGCUUAGGAUGUUGAGUCGUAGAGCACGCAG